GAAAGGCAGCUUGACAGUUAAGCACAAUUAUGCUAUGACCUAGAAAUGUCACUCCUGGGUAGAUACCCAAGAGAAAUGAAAACACAUCCACACAGCAGUGGGUACAAUGACAUUCACAGGGUUCAACACUAUAGCCAAACAGUGGCAAUAACCCUGUCAACUGAUGAACAGAUAAUAUAUGAUAUUUCCAUACAGUAGAGUAUUUAUUUUUCCAUAAAGGGGGUAAGUACUGAUACAUGAUACAUGAAUGGAUCUUUCAAACAUUAUGCCAUGUGAAAGGGGAAAGUCUCAAAAGAGCGUUCAUGGUAUGACUCCACUUAUAUGUCUAAAUCUAGAGACAGACAGCUCAUUGUUAGGCAAGAGGAGGCUCAAGAGACAACUAAGAGGCAUAGGGUUUGUUUCUGAGGUGAUAGUAUGCUGAAACUCAUUUUGAUGCAUGAAGUAACGACUACCCAGCUCUCCAGCCACAGUAUGUUUGGUCUUUUAAGUUUUAAUUUACAUUCCCCUCGCCCCUGAUGAUUUUCAGCAUCUACUUGCCAACCAUACACUUUCUUGGAUGAUAUAUCCCUUGCUUGUUGCGUUUGGGGUUUGGUUGGUUGGUUGGUUGGUUUUGUUUGGUUGGUUGAGACAAUAUUUCACUGUGUAGCCUUGGCUGAUCUACAACUCACUAAUCAGACCAGAUUGACCUUGAACUUGGGAAACUCUGACUCCAGUGCUGAAAUGCAGUCUUGUGCUACUAUGAUGGCUCUCCUGCGGGUUUUUAAUUGGGUUUCCUGUUGUUUUGCACUCAAUACAGUGGCUGCACCUUAAGCAACUGCUGUCCCAACCCGAAAUUGCAACUCCACAGCUACCAGAGCAGCCAGUUGGGAAUUCUAUUCCCUCUGGGACUGGCUCUAACACAGCUGCUAAAGGAAACUUUAUCUAAAUCUCUAUCCCUCUAUAGAACUCACAAUUCAAAGGUUGAGGUGAAAUCCUGCUAGUUCAGAGAGGCUGAAUAGCAAGUAGCUAACCUUCUCUCCUUGCUCCCAUCUCCUGAAAAAAUGGCUGUCCUUUUGCUCAGCCCCCACUUAAGAACCCUGGCUCACUUAGUUCCUACCACUUCCUGUCAGCUAGUUGCUGACUCAUCCUCCUGACCCCAGGUUAAUUUAAUUAAACAAAUAUAAUAUGUCUUUGCAUCAUUAACAAAAGCAGUAGAAACAAAUGUAACAAACCUUUACACCGCUAAAAUAGUAUUCCACAACAGUUUCCUGUUAGCUUGGAGAAUCAUCAUAGAUGCUGGAUACAAGCCCUCUAACAAGUUUGUCCUUUACAAAUACUUACUCUGGCCAAGACAUGGCAUUUCCUUUUUUUAAUAGUCAAAUGCAGAGAUUUUUAAUGUGGUUUUUUUCUUUUAUGGAUUAUGCUUGGGUUUUGGUUCUGUAGUUAGUCAUUGCCACAUUUAUUGCUAUCUUCUAGAACUUUCAUAGUUUUUAGGAUUUUAUUGUUGUUUGUUUGUUGAGGCUAGCCUGGAACUCAAAAAAC
rnacentral:lncRNA from 1 species